GACGAACGCUGGCGGCGUGCUUAACACAUGCAAGUCGAACGGAGGGGCCGUGCUUUGGGGGGGUGCGCGAGUGGAGAACGGGGGAGUAGCACGUGGGUAACGUACCCUGGCCGUUGGGAUAACUUCAGGAAAGUGGGGAUAAUACGGGCUAGGAGCUCCUGCUGCAUGGUGGGGGUGGGAAAGUUUCGGCGGUUGGGGAUGGAAUGGCGGCUUAUCAGCUUGAUGGUUGGGUGGUGGCUUACCAAGGCUUUGACGGGUAGCCGGCCUGAAAGGGUGACCGGCCACAUUGCGACUGAGAUACGGCCCAGCCUCCUCCGCGAGGCAGCGGUGGGGAAUAUUGCACAAGGCGCGGAACCCUGACGCGGCACCGCCGCGCGCGGGAUGACGUCAUGCGGUUUGUAAUCCGCUUUCGUCUGUGACGAAGCGUGAGUGACGGUACCGGGUAAAGAAGCACCGGCUAACUCCGUG
rnacentral:rRNA from 1 species